CUACGGGUGGCAGCAGUCGAGAAUAGUCUACAAUGGACGAAAGUCUGAUAGUGCGACGCCGCGUGGAUGGAGAAGCAUUUCGGUGUGUAAAGUCCUUUUCUGUGUGAGCAAUGUUUUCCAGGUUAAUAGCUUGGAGAAAGCGAUAUUAACACAGGAAUAAGCUCCGGCUAACUCCGUGCCAGCAGCCGCGGUAACACGGGGGGAGCAGGCGUUGUCCGGAAUUACUAGGCGUAAAGGGUAAGUAGGCGGAAUUGUAAGUCAGAUGUUAAAGGCACCGGCUCAACCGGUGUAUGGCAUUUGAUACUGUAAUUCUAGAGUAAGGUGGGGGAAGACGGAAUUCCUGGUGUAGCGGUGGAAUGCGCAGAUAUCAGGAGGAACACCAGAGGCGCAGGCGGUCUUCUAUACCAUUACUGACGCUCAAUUACGAAGGUGUGGGUAUCAAACAGGAUUAGAUACCCGCGUAGUC
rnacentral:rRNA from 1 species